AGAUGGCUCAGUGGGAUAGAGCUCUAGACUUGGAGUCUAGAGAUCCUGGGUUCAAAAUUGACCUAGCCU
rnacentral:tRNA from 1 species